rnacentral:rRNA from 1 species
GACGAACGCUGGCGGCGUGCUAAACACAUGCAAGUCGAACGAUGAAGCUGGAGCUUGCUCUGGUGGAUUAGUGGCGAACGGGUGAGUAACACGUGAGUAACCUGCCCUGGACUCUGGGAUAACCCCGAGAAAUCGGAGCUAAUACCGGAUAGGACCUUUCCUCGCAUGAGGUGGGGUGGAAAGUUUUUUCGGUUUGGGAUGGACUCGCGGCCUAUCAGCUUGUUGGUGAGGUAAUGGCUCACCAAGGCGUCGACGGGUAGCCGGCCUGAGAGGGUGACCGGCCACACUGGGACUGAGACACGGCCCAGACUCCUACGGGAGGCAGCAGUGGGGAAUAUUGCACAAUGGGCGCAAGCCUGAUGCAGCAACGCCGCGUGCGGGAUGACGGCCUUCGGGUUGUAAACCGCUUUUAGUAGGGAAGAAGCCUCUUGGGGUGACGGUACCUGCAGAAAAAGGACCGGCUAACUACGUGCCAGCCGCCGCCGUAACAC